GACGAACGCUGGCGGCGUGCCUAAUACAUGCAAGUUGAGCGCUGAAGGUUGGUACUUGUACCAACUGGAUGAGCAGCGCACGGGUGAGUAACGCGUGGGGAAUCUGCCUUUGAGCGGGGGACAACAUUUGGAAACGAAUGCUAAUACCGCAUAAAAACUUUAAACACAAGUUUUAAGUUUGAAAGAUGCAAUUGCAUCACUCAAAGAUGAUCCCGCGUUGUAUUAGCUAGUUGGUGAGGUAAAGGCUCACCAAGGCGAUGAUACAUAGCCGACCUGAGAGGGUGAUCGGCCACCUUGGGACUGAGACACGGCCCAAACUCCUACGGGAGGCAGCAGUAGGGAAUCUUCGGCAAUGGACGAAAGUCUGACCGAGCAACGCCGCGGGAGUGAAGAAGGUUUUCGGAUCGUAAAACUCUGUUGGUAGAGAAGAACGUUGGUGAGAGUGGAAAGCUCAUCAAGUGACGGUAACUACCCAGAAAGGGACGGCUAACUACGUG
rnacentral:rRNA from 1 species